AGCUGGGUGUAGGAAUGGCCGACUCAUCAAGCUCAUGACCUGAAGACUAUAGGUUCAAAACUUGUCCCCGCUU
rnacentral:tRNA from 2 species